UAAACACUUUUGUCUAACAAGUUGGGGCAUUCCCAAACGCUGACUCCACCCCUGUCGUCGGCCGCUGGCUCCCGAAUCCAGACAGCUUAUGGCCUUGCUCUGAUGAAACGAAACCUCAUCGCUCAGGAGGACCCAGGGCAGGAUCAAGAGAGCCACUCGCCUCCAUCCCGCAGGGCAGCCGCUCCUCGGCUCAUCCCGCUAGGAUGCAGAUCCCGAGCGCGGGUUCCCACAGCAUCCCGAGAGGCUCCAUGUCCAGCAGCAGAUCUGCAGGGCACUAGUCCCUGCCCACCCCGCACCGACAGCCGGGCGUCGGGACACAGGGGACGCCUGCGCACAAGAACUGAGCUACCACCCUCCUGGCCCCACCGAGGCGAAGGGUAACAAUACCCCUCAGCAGUAAGACAGGGUGGACAGGCGGCCCCGGAACGGCUGCGCGCUCCCCGAUGCCUCGGCGCGCUCCCGGUGCACAACCGCCUGCACGUGAGCGCGCCCCGCGCGCGCGCGCCCAGGCCACUCUAGCUGAUAGGGUCGCCUCACCUGAGCCGGGCUCCGCCCCCCUUCUCCUCGCAGGAGGAGGCGGUGGCCCUCCUCCGCUCGGACCGACCCUGAGGAAGGAGGCGGGAAGGUCCAGACUGGCUUCCCCGGCUGUGACUUCCGCCCGCCCCGCCCCUCGCUCCCGGCUCCUUCAGCCCGUUCGCGCGGUUCUUUGAGGACCCGGCGGAGGCCUACAGUAAACGGAUGUGAGGUACCCAUGUCACCGCCUCCACAGGCCUCCAAUGGCCAAUCAUCAGGAGGGCGGGGCCACAGUAGGAGUGACGUUCUGAAAAUCUGACCAAUCCGCCAUCCCAGGACCCCGGCUGUGUUUACUACCACAGCAUCCGUGAGCGCUCUGACCAAUCACAAUUUGCCUUACAGCCCGUAAAACUGUUCUCAAAGAUCUUUGAAGGCGGGACUUAUCACUUAGCAACACCAGGUUUGGCCUGUAGAAAAGCUAUUUUAUGUCACGCCCAAUCAGAACUCAGCAUGAAUAAGGAAAGCUAGUGUUUUCCGUCUACUUGAGCCAAUCGCAAUGACUACUGCCAGCCCUGAGUCCCUCCAUUGGCUCGCGCUGACUGUGACCUGGAGUCUGAAGGACAGGUGACUUCCUCUCGCUGUGAGCUGGAGAUUACUUCUAACUUGUAGGUUUGAGAAAAGAUGUAAACGGAACCCCAAGAAGCCGAGUGAGACGAAUGGCGAGCUUCACAAUGAGUAGGAAAUGCCGUCGGUCUAAUGGUGGUUGGGUGGAUCGUCGCCCGCAUCGCGUCUCAGUUGCCCAGACGUCCAGCAUAGCAACGGGAGGGUCGGAACUCAGUCCGACGUGUGCCCACCAAGCCAUCAACUCCAGAAUCAAGUUUACAGUCGCCACCACCUUAAAACUUCAGGGCUCAGCCCUCUUAUCAAUGCCGCAAAAGAGUCUGCUGGACCGGGUGGGAAAGAGGAAGGCCCGGCUGCCGCCUUGGCCUCUUGCGGUAUACCACCGAGCAGUAAAAUCAAGAUUAUGUGUUCUAGAUAGCUUUCCUGUUACUUUGAUAAAACUGAACAAAGCAGUUUGGAAGAGGAAGUGUUUACUGGGCUUAUCACCAUGGUUUCGGAAAGUCCUGGGAAGAAUUCAAACAAACCGUAGACUAAAGCUACCUCCUGGCUUGGGCUCAGCUGUCCUUGUGCUCAGUUCACGCCUGCGUGAGAAUGGACAGGCCACAAGGGAUGAGCCCUACUAAGUCAAUUAAUAAGCAAGCAAUCCCUUUUCCCAAGUGAAGGAUAGUAUAAAAUUCUUAGUUGGUUCACAAGCUAAUAGGGUUUCCUAGGGCUUCAUCCAUCCUUAGUUUGCACCAGUUCCCAACCCCAAUAAACCCAUAUAAAAACCACACAAUCCAGUUAUAAAUAUAAGCUAUGUACCUAGACUGGACAGCUCUAGCACUGUGCUAACUUAUUCCCCAGCUGCGAGACCCUUUGCUAUUUGCAGUUUCUCCUGGCCACGUGGUUCUGCUCCUCCUCUUCUUCAGUCCUCUCCCCUUCCCUUCUCCUCUCUACCUGUCCCUACUCUCCAAGACCUCCCACCUCUCCCCUCCCCUGCCCAAUUACAGGCCUCAGCCUUUAUUGACCAGUUAAAAUGGGGAAGAGGAUGCCCUCAAUACCCUCCCCUUUCCCUCAUCCCAGUUUCCUUUCCAGAUUAACCCUUUAGCUCCUGACAUUCUCUCCCUUUUCUACCAUCCACUCCCACUACAAAAUGUUUUUUAAGAGAGCAUACAGAGCCGAAUACAGUAGAAUAAUAAUUACACAAAAAUAGAACCUGGUGUGGUAGCUCACACAUUUUAUCCCAGUACUGGGAGGCAGAAGCAGAUGGACCACUAUGAGUUUGAGUUUGAGACCAGCCUGGUCUACACAAUGUGUUACAGACCAAGCAGGAUUAUAUAGUAAGACCCUGUUAAAGAAGAAAAAGUGCAUAUGCACAGAGAUAAACCCAAGAGAUGAAACAGAAUGUUAGCAAUGGCUCUCUUAAAGGGAUGUGAGAUUAUGGGUUACUACAAUUUUAUUAUCCAUAGUUUCUGUGUUUUAUACUAGUAUACAUCCAAUAUGUGUUAUUUUGGUAAUUGUUUUAAUGAUUUAAUAAAUGUCAUGAAAAUGAGAACACUUAUAUGUUUAACAAGAUUUAAUAUAAAGCACUGAUUCUUUUUUUUGUUGUUUUUGUUUUUGUUUUUUGAGACAGGGUUUCUCUGUAUAGCCCUGGCUGUCCUGGAACUCACUUUGUAGACCAGGCUGGCCUCAAACUCAGAAAUCUGCAUGCUUCUGCCUCCCGAGUGCUGGGAUCAAAGGCGUGUGCCACCACCGCCUAGCUCUUUGUUUUUAUUUUAAAUUUUUUUGCCAUGUUUCAUUUAUUACUGUUAUUGUUGUACGUGUGUGUAUGUGCACAUGUGCAUGCAUGCAGGUGCCUCAGCACAUAGAGAAAAGCUUGCUGCAGUUGUUUCUGUCUCCGCUUUGAUGUUUAUAGGGGUUGAGCUCAGUUGCUAAUCUUUCACAGCAAGUGCCUUUUCCCACGGAACCACCUCAUUGGCCCCAAUUCAUCUUUUUAUUAAAGAAUAUUGCAAGAAUGUUGUGACUUAACAUUAACAAAGUUAAAAGCAUCAAUUUAGCAAAGUCACCUUUGUUGUUCUCUGUUGUGAGUGUGGGUACACACCUAUAUCCUGACUAUCAGCAGAAGAAUGAAGGGGAGUUCUAGUUCUGAGUUAACCUGGGCUACUUGCUGAGUGUAAGGGUAGCCUUAAAAUAAGAACCUAUCAAAGAAAAGUUAUUGUUUUGUUUACUGCUAUUCCAAAGUUAUCAAGAAGUAUAAAUAUGUGGAAAUGAACACAAUCAGGCAAAUACUAGGAAGCCAACAUUCCACUGACCCAUUAGAGGCCAGCCUGAUCUAUGGAGUGCAUUGAGGCCAGCCAGGGACAUAUACCAAGACCCUGUCAGUAAAUAACUAAAUAAGAGCACAUAGUGGUCUGUAGGGCGGGGAGUUGAGGAUGGACUCUCUGCUCUGUGCAGCUUGCUGGCAGAUUGGUACUGAUGCAUGUGGGACAUCAGAUCUAGGUAUAGUGGUGUAUGGCAUCCCAGAGGAUGAAAAAGAACUGUUUUUAAGUGUUGGUGUGUGAGAAACAACAGAGUGCUGGGAGGAGUUGUUGAAGCUGGUGAAUGGAA
ensembl:antisense 1700055D18Rik RIKEN cDNA 1700055D18 gene